CUACGUGCCAGCAGCCGCGGUAAUACGUAGGGGGCAAGCGUUAUCCGGAUUUACUGGGUGUAAAGGGAGCGUAGACGGAGUGGCAAGUCUGAAGUGAAAACCCUGGGCUUAACCUAGGGACUGCUUUGGAAACUGUUAAUCUAGAGUGUUGGAGAGGUAAGUGGAAUUCCUGGUGUAGCGGUGAAAUGCGUAGAUAUCAGGAAGAACACCGGAGGCGAAGGCGGCUUACUGGACAAUAACUGACGUUGAGGCUCGAAAGCGUGGGGAUCAAACAGGAUUAGAUACCCUGGUAGUCCUAGCUGUAAACGAUGAUUACUGGGUGUGGGCAUGAAGAGUGUCCGUGCCGAAGCUAAUGCGAUAAGUAAUCCGCCUGGGGAGUACGGCCGCAAGGCUGAAACUCAAAGGAAUUGACGGGGACCCGCACAAGCGGUGGAGCAUGUGGUUUAAUUCGACGCAACGCGAGGAACCUUACCAGAUCUUGACAUCCUG
rnacentral:rRNA from 1 species